ensembl:snoRNA U3 Small nucleolar RNA U3
AAGAAUAUACUUCCAGGGAUCGUUGCUGUAGUAUGCUACUAGAGACGUUUCUCUGAUCGUGUAGAGCACCAGAAACCAUGAGGAGGAGGCACAGUGCUCCUUCCUGAGCGUGUAGAGCUGGCUCCUGGUGUUUUGUUGCAGCUGCCACCUGCCACUGCCAAUCAAUCUUGCUUUCUCCUAGCAGGGAGUGAGAGGGGAGGAGCACAGCCUGAGUGGC